CCUGGAUCACACCCUGAGCCAAGGCAGAUGCUCAACCACUGAGCCACCCAGGCGUCCCAAUUCCCCAUCUGAGCUGAUUUGCAUCAUCCUUGCUGAUUUGCAUAGCACCAUAUGCUGCCCCGACUGAAUCUUUGCACAGUAUGAAAUAAUUCCUUUUGACAAGAUAACCACUAUUACAGCAGUGUCAGGGGUCAGCGUUUAAUUAUCUGACCGGAAGAUAGAGUUGCAUACUCUGAAAUGUAAUCCUUCCUGUCCUACAACCCUGACAUCUUCCCUCCACAUCCCUUCUGUGCUGUCAACAAGUAAGGUAGAAAAUUGCUGCUUUCCCAUCUUCCUCAAUGUGUGCACUUGCACAGAACAGAAACCCUCAAGCCAAACUGAAGUGUCUGAGUUGAAGAAUUUACUCUGGAAAUGAUGGGAUGAGAGACAUUAGAGUUCUGUUGGACAACUCUUCUGGGAGUUAGAGAAGCUUCUGUUCUCAAAGGGGCCGAGCCAUUUUGUAGGAUGCCAUGGAGGUGGGAAUGCUUUUUAAUGUCUCCUGAAGUCUGAAGGACAGAAACUCAAGGGUGUAAUUGUGGGGUCUGAUGGCUUUUUUAUAACCUGGGUCUUUAGGAACAGUCAAUUAAGGUUUACCUGCUGGAGCAUUUUGCAAAACAAAU